rnacentral:rRNA from 1 species
UACGGGGGGGAGCAAGCGUUGUUCGGAUUUACUGGGCGUAAAGGGCGCGUAGGCGGCGCAACAAGUCACUUGUGAAAUCUCCGGGCUUAACCCGGAGCGGUCAAGUGAUACUGUCGUGCUAGAGUGCGGAAGGGGCUACUGGAAUUCUCGGUGUAGCGGUGAAAUGCGCAGAUAUCGGGGAGGAACACCUAUGGCGAAGGCAGCUCGCUGGGACGUUACUGACGCUGGAGAACGCGAAAGCGUGGGGAGCAAACAGG